rnacentral:rRNA from 1 species
AUGAAGCGGAGACGCUGGGCUGGUAACCCGAAUUGCUCCUUUUGUAAAGAUAGAGAGACUUCUGAACAUUUGUUCUUUACAUGCACUGUAGCUAGAGUGGUUUGGAGGACAGUGGGCUGUGUUUUGGGCACUGAUAAAUGCGCAAACAAUAUUUGGCAGUUCUUCUCCUGGUGCUACAUGGUUUUACCUGAUGGUGAAAGAUUCUACCCUUUCGGUUUAGCAGCCAUUUGUUGGGAAAUUUGGAAUUGUCGCAACCAAGCUACCUUUGAACAGAAAAAGCUUAAAACCCCUUUUGCUGUGAGCUUUUCAGCAUGUGGUUUCAUGUCUUAUUGGGCAGGGAUGAUGAAUGGAGAAGAUCAGGCGAUGAUGGAACGGGGCUCCAAGAUGCUGAAGGCCAGUACUGCAGCCAUGAUGAGGAUCUGCGCGGCGCCGGGUGAGAAGACACUGAACUGA